AUGGCCGCUUGCCCGGGCCGACAGUCGCCGCCUCCGUCGCGUUUGCCCCCGCCGCCGCCUGCGCCUCCGCCUGCCGGGGCGGUCCGCCUCGGCGUCUCGUGGAGCCAGAUCGUUCGUGCGGAAUCGGCGGGCAGCGUUCAAGGCCCCAGCUUUUCGGUCCCAUUUGAGCCGGUGGUGUCGUCGGUGCUCUCGCGCACGCCGGUGGAAGAUCGAGUGGACUGUGUCUUCCUGGAGUCAGGUCCAGACUUGUGGGCCCUAGAAGAGGAGCUGUCCAGGGCGGUGGUGGUGACCGUCGUGGGUUCGCACCAGGCCGCGGACCUGGCUUGA
rnacentral:rRNA from 1 species